rnacentral:snRNA from 1 species
UCACUUACCUGGACGGGGUCAAUGGGUGAUCAACAAGGUCCAUGGCCUAGGUUGGUGACCUCCAUUGCACUUCGGAGGGGUGCCCACCUAAGGUCGGCCCAAGUGGUCGAGCCUACGUCAUAAUUUGUGGCAGUGGGGGCUUGCGUUCGCAGCCCUUG